rnacentral:rRNA from 1 species
GACGAACGCUGGCGGCGUGCUUAACACAUGCAAGUCGAACGAUGAAACCUAGCUUGCUAGGUCGAUUAGUGGCGAACGGGUGAGUAACACGUGACUAACCUGCCCCUUUCUCUGGGAUAACGCUCCGAAAGGAGUGCUAAUACCGGAUACACACACCGAGGCACAUGCCUUGGUGUGGCAAGUUUUUCGGUAAGGGAUGGAGGUGCGGCCUAUCGGCUUGUUGGUGAGGUAACGGCUCACCAAGGCGACGGCGGGUAGCCGGCCGGAGGGGGCGACCGGCCACACUGGGACUGAGACACGGCCCAGACUCCUACGGGAGGCAGCAGUGGGGAAUAUUGCACAAUGGGCGCAAGCCUGAUGCAGCGACGCCGCGUGAGGGAUGAAGGUCUUCGGAUUGUAAACCUCUUUCAGUAGGGACGAAGCGAAAGUGACGGUACCUAAAGAAGAAGCACCGGCUAACUACGUGCCAGCCGCCGCCGUAA